AGUAAGGUUUAAAUUCUCAUUUUCUUUCUUAGUGAUGAUACUGGCGAAAUCAAACGAAAAAGGAUAAAUUAUUUCAUAGUUAAAAAUUUGGAAACCAUUUCACAGAAGAAAACAUUGAUUUUUAGUAUCAUAAUUAUCAUCCACAUAGUCUGUGUCUGCGAUUCUGAUUGGUUGCUUUGGGAAGCAGUUAAUUCCUGAAAAUUAUAAAAGAUCAAUGCCAGAGUGGUGAUUCUUUGAGACUUCAACAAAUAGUGAACUAACUGCCGUACGAAAUGCAAAAUAUGAAUAUAAACUUUUCAAUUUAUGUGGUAUUUUUAACAACAUUAUUAUGUAUAAAUAGUAGUGCUGCAACUCAAACUACGGACCCAAAAAUAUUGGCUAUUUGUGAGUACAUUUGUAACAUACUGGAACCAUAUAGUAAUGGAAACGGCUGUCCUCCAGAGUGCCCUCAAAGAUAUUUAGGACCUUGGUCAAAACGAAGUAUAAAUCCUUACAAAAGAAAUUCUAAGCGAGCAUUUCAUCCACAUAGUUCAGAUUUACGGGGCAUCUCGUUUGACGAUUACGGUUGGUUUAUGAAACUGUUGGGCCGGAACAAUAUUUAAGAAUGCGGAAUCUAGUUGGUUCCUGUAUACAAUAGAAUUAAGAACAAUGGAAUCUCAAAAAACAUGUAUACAGAUAUAUACCUGAGAAAAUACUUCCAAAGGAUAAAGCAAAUAUUUAAAUAUUACAGAAACUUGACAUUUUCAUUCAGUUUAUUAUACUCCCACACUUGCUUAGAACUGCAAAUAUAGUGAUCAUUGUGACAGUACUUCAUCCAUACGUUAACUUGUCUCUUCGAACUUUUCUUUGUACGCAUCCAAUUUGUUUUCGUUGCUUAUUGUGAUUUCCCAAAGCAAAACUCCUACCCUACCAAAUCUAUAAGAGGUGUUGGGAUUUUAUAUAUAGGCUUCUUCUCAUGGAUUAGUAUCUCUCUCCUUUAACCGUAAUCGGACAGGAUUUAAACGAAACUUGCACCGAAUCUGUAGAACUUAUCUGUUGUUUAUUUCCUAUUUUAUUGUCUGAUUUGAAUGAGUUUUAGAAUUUCCAUAGUCGCCUUAUCUUUUCAAAUGGGAUUGAGAGUGAGGGUAUGAAUAUGAGGGUUUACUCAAAGCCUUUUUUGUUUUUGUUUAUUUUAGUUUGAUUUAUUAGAAAUUAUGCUUACAGCGGGUCUGUAAAAUAAUUAUUUAUGAUACAUGUAUUAUACAUAUAUUUUUGAGUGUGUAAUAUUUAUUUAAAUGUGAAAAUUUGUUUGUUUUUCAUGAAAUUAAAAAAAAAUGUUUUCAUUGUGAAAAUGCAUCAA